AAAGAACCCUGGGAAUGAGCCCAAUUCCUGCAAGGAACAGUGAGUUUGCCCAGGAGCAGGGGUUUGGAGAGAACCCAGGGAAACCGAGAGAUGCUAGAGAAGUGAAAAAGCUAUGGGUUGACUUGGCACAAGCUAUGCAGGAAGCUUCCAUCACUGUUCUGGAAUUAAAGGAGAAGAUAAAGACUCUCUGUGAUGGAAAGUUAAACCCCUAGAGAGGUCAACAAUAUUGAAGGCCAGUGCCAGAGCCAAGAAAACACACAGGAGUGAAGAUUCCCAGUCUAACCAGGUGACCAUAUGACUGACAUGGUGAACCACCUCCCAUCACCAAGAGGGAGGACCGUGUUGCAUGAUGGAAGAUGUAGUCCAACCAGCAAGCCCAGCCUUAAGAGGAGAAUUGAAGCAUGUGGCAUUUGAACUAAAAGUCCCACAAGACAUCAUGGCAGCAUUUCAGAACUGAAAUAUUUUGCUUUUCAAUAUUUUGCCAGAAACUCUAAACAAUAAAUCUCUUUACUUGUAAACUGAGCAUAUGUGAGA